CAACUAUACUUGCCGAAUCUUCUAAACGAAGUACGGGGGAUCACAUUUGGGUGAAUCCUUUAGAACAAUAUACAAUAAACUAAUAGUCAAUAAGAAAAUUUCAAAAGUUUUCUUAUUAUUUAACUAUAUGUUCCUAAAGGUAGGGUGCCUUCAACCCGAACCCGCAAGCUAACCUCGGAGGCAAAAUAGAAGGAGGAU
rnacentral:sRNA from 2 species